AAAAGAACCCUAAAAUCACUGUAGGUGUACAAUUUUGUGCCUCGAGGUCUGAUUAUGAUCCUAGUUAACAACUAGUCUUCUUUAGGUAUUAAUGCUUGGCUUCUUGAGGUAAAUUUUGCUGAAAUCUACUCUUAACUCUCUCUUAUACAUAUUUGUAUCAUUUAAUUUUUGAAUUUAUUUAUUUUUGUUUUAUUUAAGGUCCUACAAAAAUAAAUAGAAGUCCAUUUUAUAAAAGGUAAUAUUAGUACUUUUUAAUUUUACUACUCUUUUAACU
rnacentral:lncRNA from 1 species